rnacentral:lncRNA from 1 species
AUGGUGGAGGCAAAGGCUCUCCCCAUCCCCACCUCAGUUUUAGGUAGGGCUUUUAAUUUAACCCAAAGACAUCUCUCAACUUGGAGAGUAAUUCAGUCCUCAACAGCGCCUCAAAUCUGCUAUGGCUUUGCAGCGCAGCAGCAAGAAUGUUUAAUAUAUAAUAGAUAAAAAUUUCAUCCAAAAAAUUAAAAUAAAAUAUUCUUGCAAACCCCCCCCCCAACACCAAUUCCUAUUCUAAUGUUAACCUACCACUUGUGCUGUUAAUACUUGACCAUGUACUUAAUUGGAAACCUAUAUCCAAAAGACUGAAACUGAAUCUUCACCCCAAAAUGAAAACAAAAUAAAAUGAAUAACUUGAGGUUUAUGGCAUAUAGUUUAGGUAAACACACAUACGAGGAGAAAGGGGAAGAGGAAACAGAGGUGUCGGAAGCAAAGCUGAGUGACAGAACACAUUCAGUCAGGGCAGAUGUCUAUACAAAGUGGAGUGGAACAUCAGGAAAAGCUCCAUAUGGAUUCAUGUGCACAUGUCUGGAGGCACCAGAUCCCUCCAUGGCAGAUCUGUUGGGGACAGAAAAUCUGUGAGUUUCCAGCAACUCAGUGUUCUUUGUGUGCAGUGGCGACAGCCACGAUGCCAUCUGCCACGCCAAAUCCCUUCCCCAACAGCUGAGCAGUCUGAGACCAAGCCACUUCUGUUCCAGCUGGAGACAGCCAGAAAGACUUGGGCUGGGUCCCAGGUGAAACAAACUUUCUCCUUAAAUUGAUCUGUGUGUUUUGUUUAAUCUAAGGUUAAGUUUGCCUUGCUGAGGACAGCAGGAGGGCUAGCCACCCAUGCUGCUGACAAUACAGUUCCCCACUAUCAUUGGGUCUCAAACUGUGCUACAUAUAGGCAUCACCUGGGGGCUUUAAAAAACUCUUAAUGCCUGGGUUCCACUCCCAUGAUUAUGAUUAACUGGUUUAGGGUUUGACCUGGGCAUCAGGAAAGUCUUAAAAAUUUCCCAGGUGACUCUCAUGUGCAGUCCAGACUGAGAAUAAACUGGUCAUUCAUAAUGUUGAGUAUACUGGGAAAAUAUCUCCAGUAUUCAUUCAUUCACUCAACUUAAAACUUUCUGGGUUUGCCCUUGGAUUUUCCUUCCAGACUCUUGCAAGAAGCUGAGACAUUCUUUGGCAGUGGGUUGGGAGGGUUACUCGGGGUGACUUGUAGCCUUUAUCCCUCUCUCCCCUCCCUCUACCUCAUCAAGUUUACAGAAAGCCUGUUCCCAACCAGGAAAAUAAUUCCAAGGCUCCCUCGAGUACAGUUAUGUUCAAAAAAUGACUCAGCUCUCAAAGAACAGGAAAGGGAUUUUGGCCUAGGUGCAGACCUCUGGGCAGACAAAGGCCCUGUAAAGUGCCAGGGAUUCCCUCCCAGUAGCAAUGACAGGUGAAGAAACCAGUUAUCAAACUUAACCAGGCCUGUAUUACCAAGGUGUGUGUGGUUCAAACAGAGAGUUUAAAAAGCCCCUCCACUUACAGAUGUGCACAACAGGACCAGGUUACAAGUAGCUCUGACUGCCAUCACAAAUAGGAUGGCAGCCAUUUGUUGUGGCUUUCAAACAAAAGUGUCCUCACCCAGGCCUUGGCUGUGACCCUCUGGUUCCUAUGGCAGGAGGGGAGCAAAUAAAAAGGUCUGGGGCCAGUUGGAAGGAAGCCAGUAGCAUUCAUGUACUUAAUGAUUCUAACACUUACAUGAAAAGUUACGUGCUACUAGGAUACUGAGUUUAGUUCCUAAGAAAUGAGGGUGGAAGAGGGGAAAAUCAACAAACAGGGGCUCUGGUCCUACUUUGCCACUGCCUGGAUGUGACCUUGAGUAAGGCCUUUCUCUCUGGCCCUGUUUCCUUACUGUUGCACAAUAAAGCUGAUGCAGAGGCCCCUAAGAUCCCUUCCUAGAACUGUCUGAUCUAAGAGCAUCCUUUCAACUUCACAAGCAUCCUCUGGCUUCAUUUUUCCACUUCACUCACUGAUAAGCUGGCCUGGGGGCCUCAAGUGUCCUGGGUGUGGACCCUGAGCAGGUGGACCGAUGCAGGAAUGCCUCCCUCAUACCAUCUAAUAGGCAGUAACCACAAACCACAGUGAAGAGAGAGCCGCAGAAGCUAGGACAUGAUAUUCAUAUCCAAAGGGCUUUUUUUUUCCCCCUCUAGCUUCUAGAAACACAGGGUAGAACAAAGUCAUUCAUUAAGAGUCUUAUUUCCAAAGAACUAAAAUGUUGGCACUACAAAUUUGGCCUACAUUUCCAUAGUCCUCAAUUCAGUUUUAAUUUAUAAACUACAUAGAAAAACAUUUAAACAGCUGCCAUCUCCAUGAGUUGAACUGGGAACAUACACAUGCCAAUUCCUUUCCUUAGGGUGACCAAUUUUUACAUUCAAAGCAUACACUAAUAACACUGAAAGGAUACUCAAUACAGAAAGAAUGCAGGGGGAAAAAUAGCCUUGUGGUGUUUUUUGUUCUCUCUGCUACCCAUCAAACGCUGGGCAUAACAUGGGAGGAGCAAAGGCAGUGAAGGGCCCUUCAGUAUUCCAUUUCCUUACCCAAGAACAGGGAGCUAAGGGAGGAGGCCAUUCCUGUCAUUCCAGUUUUAGAAGCUCCACAUCGAAGACGAGAGUGGCAUGUGGUGGGAUGAUGCCUGGGUGCCCAGUGGCACCAUAGGCAUAAUCUGGAGAUAUAGUCAGUUUGGCUCUCUGACCCACACUCAUCUGUGAAAAGAACAAGGAAGACAGACUCAGCUGGACACAUGCCCCAACUGUCUCUGUAAGAAAAAGAGCUGUUUACCUAGGUGUUCCUUGGCCAGGAUGGUAUUGACUUUCCAGUGACUUUGCAGCUGCCCAGGCAUCACCACCUCCUUGUGCAGGACUUGGAGGUUGGCAGUCAUAUUCCAUCACCCCUGCAUCUCACUCCAAGAAGCCCAAUGGCAGUUCAAAACCCCUCCUGACUCUCAGAACGGUCAGGCCCUCAACCUUUCUACGCAAGUCUUAAUGACUAAUGCUAGGCAGGUAACAUUCCAGAUGUCUCACCACCUAGUCCCCUUCAGUGAUCUGUCACUUAAAGGACAUGUUAAGUGCCAUCUAUGCUCUUCUUGAAAAAGGAAUACUCAACUUUGCUUUAAAAAAAUAUAUACACAGGAAGUAAUACUUGAGGGUAGUCUAUUUUUUCUGUAUUUUUUCUAUUUAUACUCUUUUACCCAUAUAGGAAAACUUCAAAAAAGACAAUAUGAUUUUCUGGGCUACAAAAUAGCAUUUACUGAAUACCAUUUGUGAAAAUAUUGAUAUGCCUACAACAGAAAACAUCUUUGGAAGGACAUACCAGACAUUUGCUGUGAGGAGAACAGUAUGGAUAGUGAGUGACCAGUAAGGAGAGAUUUCUACUUUAAAAAAUAUAUUUGUGUAUAUUUUCAGUUUCAAAUUAAAUACACAAAUAAGUAUAAAAUAUCUACUUUCUGAACAGUGAGCAGGUUCUCUGCAGUAUUUCCAUCCUUUGACUUAUCUCUGCUUUUGGUCUCCAUGUGUAUGUUCCCGACUUUCCAACUCCACCAGACAGAGGAUGAAUAAAGAGGAAGCUCCAGGCUGUGAAGCGUCUAGUCCUUGCUCCCCUCAGAAGCUGGGACAUGUUGGACCAAGGUGGUAAGGAUAGUGAGUUUCCCAGAAGCUGGACAAGCCACGACGGCGCCUUCCAAUAAAAGGGGAACUCCAGAGACGCUAUGAGAAAAGAGGAACAGACAUCUGCAAUAGAUAUCUGCAACUUCCUUUUCAAAAACACCAUCGGCAUUGCUUUCUCAGGAAGCCACUGCCAGCCUAUUGUGAUAGCUGACACUGAGUUCCUGAGAAUUCUCUAAUUAGGAUCCCAGAUUGGAGGGUCAGCCAGUGGUUAACAUAUAAUGGACACAAAACUGAUUUUACUGGAAGACUGAGGGUGGGCACUCACCAUGGUUCUAAGCAUUCAUUACUCAGAAGAUCCAUAAAAACAUUACAGUUCUGUUGUGUAAGAGUUUAGGAAAAAAAGAAAAUCCUGACAAAAAUCCCAACCUAAAAAACAGUGUCAACAUUUGUAAGUAGGAUGGGGAGGCAGAGAUGAAUUGGCAGUGUUAUCACAGCUACUGGACUAUGUGGACUUUAACAAAGUAAGAAACGGGUGGGGGUUGGGUGGUGGUAUCUUAAUAGAGCAGGAGUAGAGACGGAUGUCCUGGGGCAGAAUGGGUACCAAUGCUGCCUGAAGCCUGGAGCUGGGAGCUGAGGACUAAGAGGUAGACAGGAGGGUGGGGACCGGUACCUGCUCCAAGGAACUGGUGCCCCAGAACUGGUGAGCUGGGGUAUGCAUUUAGCUCAUUCGUUUACCAGAAUGCAGUCACCACCUGAUGAAAGAAAUGACUAAUGGCAGGACUUGAACAGUUCUCUAUAAAUGAGUACCUGGGAGAAAAACAGGUCUCCAGGCUCCACAAUACCCAAUAAACACACUGCCUUUAGCCCACUUCAAGCUGCACUUCUUACAUGGAACCCAACCCAACCAACCUCAGAGGUAAGGGUGAGAGCAGGCAAUGAACAGCUAUGAUUCUCCAUUCCCUGGCCAGGCAGGGAGCCUUUCCAUCCACCCUCGUGAGACUGCUUGUAACAGAAAUAAGGAAACCGACUCCAAGGCUCAGUAACCCACCCAAGGUCAGAACCACGGAGUGGCAGGGCCUGUGAGCCACAAAGGAGACUGAAAACCAGAAAGAGCUUCUCUCUGGUCUGUUAUUUUAAGAAAAACAUGCCCAGAGGGGCCACCUGGAAGCAAGGCUGUGUGGCACCCUCACCUUCCUAAUUAAACAACAACUUCCCAGGAGCAACGACAGCAACAACAGCCUGGCCCAGCAGAUGAACUCGAAUCAAUCCAAGCCCUUCCCCUAUACGGGUCAGUUUGGGCACUACUUUACCUGCUGUGAAGUCUACUGGGAUCUUCCAGGAAAGUCCCACCUCAUUAGUAAAAAGAAAAACAAAGACUCGGGAAGAAAGUUCCUGCCCUCCCUGUUGAAUGCUGUGUGAGGAUAAGAUGUCUGGAGCAUGGCAGUCACCCUGUGACUAUCAGAAGGCCAGGCGUACCACAAGGUGGUCAUUCCAGUGCUCUGAAUCAGCCCCAAACCACUUCCCUCAAGACUCAUGUUCUGAGGUGAUUAAAAGUGUGCUUUGAAGGUAAAUCUAGGAUGACAGUCAACAGAUCAGUGAUUGCCAGGAGUCAGGGGUAGAGGGAGGGAAGAACAGAUGGAGCACAGAGAAUUUUUAGGGCAGUGAAAAUGUUCUGUAUGAUACUAUAUAUAAUGGAUACAUGCCAUUAUACACUUGUCCAAAUGCACAGAAUGUACACCACCAAGAGUGAACCCUAAUGUAAACUAUGGACUUUGGGUGAUCAUGAUGUGUCAAUGCAGGUUCGUCAAUUGCAACACACGUACCAUUCUAGUGGGGGGUGUUGAUAACAGGAGGCUAUGCAUGUGUGGGACCAGGGGAUAUAUGGGAAAUCUCUGUACAUGCCUCUCAAUUUUGCUGAGAAUCUGAAACUGCUCUUAAUGAAGUCUUACAAAAAUAAAGAAGUCUGCUUUGCCUUAGGUUGGGUCUUCAGUUACCUGCAGCCAAAUGAACACAACUGGCGUGAGGUAAACCUCUGACACUUAGUGAGCACGCUACAAUGUAGUGCUGCCACGAAAGGAAUAACAAAGAAACAGAACUCAACAACUAAAACCACAAAGAACUAUCCCUGAUCCGCGACAAUGGGAACAGUGUCUCAUGUCAGGACCCAGUACACACCCACAUUUUGUCUGUGUAUAAACAAAAUUUACAUGUAAGUUACUACAUGGCAUAUACUUCUCAUUUUUAAAAAGAAUGCUGAUUGUGACCCACUACAUUUAUUUCAUGAUGCAUUAAUGGUUCAUAACCCACAAUUUGGAAAGUACGGUAUACCUAUAAAAAAUUAGCCUUAUUUCUUGCCAAACUUGAACACGGCUCUGACCUGUGCAAGAUCGUAUUUUGAUUGCAGUGAAAGCCACAGGGUACUGAGACAGACUCCCUAAACUUCCUUUUUAUUCCUGAUCAAAUGCAAUGCCAAGCAACCUCCAGACACUACAUGCAUCAAUGUAUCAAUGUUGCUUUGCCUGAGGUGAGAUACUUCAACUAUCUAUCUGACUGGUACCAGGCUAGGAGCACUAGGCAGGACACAGCCUGAAUCUGCUGCUGCUGCUGCUGCUGAGCCAGCAUGGAGAUGUGUAUGUUCUUCAGUGGCUCUAUGUGAGGAUGCCUGUCUAACCCCAGCUCUCCUGAGCCUAUCUUGGACACUGAGGGGCAAACCUCUCCCUAGUAUCUUAAAACCAUAAAAGCCAGGAAGCAGGAUUUCUAAGUAAAGGAGCUUUAAACAGGACCUUUGCCUAGGAUCUUAAUUUUCCUAUGCUAUUUUGGAUGCUCUGUUGUCCCUGGGAAAGGGGCAUGAGACUUGCUCCAGAAUUUCAGACCACAGUCACCAACUGUCAAUCUCAUCUACUUUCUAAGGAGAAAUCUUCGCAGGGCAGGGUUGGGUGGUGGCAGUGAUGUUGGGGUUCCUUGAGUCCAAGGAGAGGAUUUCCCAUAAUCGAGUCCGAAAGCUAAACAAUAAUCCCCCGAAAUGGGUGGGGUGGUAUGUGAUUAAGUGGGUGUCACACAACUGGCACAAGCUACAGGACAAGGAGAAGGAGGGCUUCCCCAGUGGGGAGGAACAGGCCACUUAUCUAUGGCCCUAAGUUGUCAGCCUGGGGGAGAAGGUGGAAGCAGUGUUUGUUAAGCUGGAAUGAGUGUGCAUGUGUAGGAAUUAUGCUGUUCAGUCUGUAAUGUCAAAACAGAUAGUGAGAACUUCCAUUUCUGGUCACGGUGGAGGACAAGGAUCAGAUUUGUUCAUGAAACAACCAACAACCAACCAACCAACCCCUUCCUCCCUACAAAAAGUCCACUAAAACCUAAAAACCACCUAGACAAAAUAGCUACAACGAUGGUUUGUAGGACACCAGACAUCUGUAAUGAAGAACAAUAAAUCCUGAGACAUGGGAAACAAGGGCAGCCCUAUAUCCUUGGGAGUUUCCAGGGAGAGGGACCUGGAGUGGAGCUCAAGGCACCUAGAGUCCAUAGGACACAGUACCAGCAGGAGAGAGCUAUACAGAGAUCCCCAGAGAUCUGCAGGGUCCUCUUUGAGUAUUCAGCAGAGUCCCUCUCAGUGCAUGUAUCUGAGCAAACUAUUCAAGGCCAGGAAAAGAACUAUCCAAAAGGCUUAGAGGAACAGUAUCCAGUGCUCACACAGGGCUAGGAUUAGUGCUUACUACCCCCCGGUCAAACUGGAGAAGCUCAUGAUUGACAAAGCACUGGGCAGAAUACUCAGGAAGAUCUUGCCUAUAGUAGGAAAUAAUCAGCCCUAAACUGAGCUCUAGACCUACCUAACAAAUCACAAAAGCAAGACUCGCAAGCAUCAAACUGUUUCCGGGUAACUUAAAUGCUUCUCAGUAUAAAACUCAGGAAAAUUUAUAGGAAUAAAAAUAUCCAGCACCCCAAAAGGCAAAAUUCACAAUGUCUGGCAUCCAAAGAUUACCAGGCAUGCAAAGAGGCAGAAAACAGGACCCACAAUGAGGAGACUUAUCAAUCAAUUGAAAGCAACCCAGAACUAACACAAAUGUUAGAAUUAGUAGAGGAGAACCAUAAGACUCCAACUUUCAGAGAUGAAAACUACAAUGUCUGAGAUGAAAAUUACAUUGGGCUGAAAUGACAAAAUAUCCACACAUAACACAGUAAAAACUUCACACCAUUAUCAAGCAUUAACUCAAAAUGGAUCCUAGACCUAAAUGUUAAGUACUAAACCUAUCAAAUUUAUAGAAGAAAACAUAGGAAAGAAAUCUUUGUGACCUCGAGUUGGGUGAAGAUUUCUUAGUAUGAUGUCAAAAAGCACUAUCUAUAAAAGAAUAAAUUGAACUUCAUCAAAAUAAAUUCAGUACUUUAAAAAGCACUGUUAAGAAAAUGAAAGACAAACCAUACACUGGGAGAAAACUUUUGCAAAGUACAUAUCUGAUAGAGGACUUAUAUCCAGAAUAUAACAAACCAAAAUUCAACAAUUAAGAAAACCAAUAAAAAAGGGCUAAAGAUUUGAACAGAUACUUCAUUGAAAAAGACAGAGGGCAGGUAAGCAUAUGAAAAGAUGCUAAACAUUCCUAGUUAUUAUAACAACGCAAAUUAAAACCACUAGGAAACGCAUCUACCACCACUGAUUAGAAUGAGUAAAGCUAAAAAGACUGACCACGUCAGGUGUUAGUGAGGAUGUGAAGGAACUGGUAUUCUCAUACACUGCUAGUGGGAAUAUAACAUAAAGCUUCAGAAAACAGCUUGAUAGUUAAGUUAAACAUACACCUCCCAUAUGACCCAGCCAUUCUGAUCUUGAGUAUUUAUCCAAGAGAAAUGACAGGCUAUGUCCACAGAAAAACUUGUACACAAAUGUUCAAAGCAGAUUUAUUAGCGAUAGUCAAAAACUAUAAACUAACCCAAACAUCCACCAACGGGUAAGUUGGUAAAUACAUGUUUCUAUAUAUAGAAAAAUAUUUAGCAACAAAAAGGAACAAACAAUUGAUACAUGGGACAAUACAGAUGAAUCUCAAAAUAAUUAUACCAAGUGAAAGAAGGCAGACAUAAGAGAACGUACUGUAUGAUUCCAUUUAUAUAAAACUUUAGAAAAUGCAACAAAUCUACACUGACAAAAAAGCAUAUCAGUAGUUGUUAGAGGAGGGUAAGGAGGGGUGAAUUCAAAGGGAAACAAUGACACAUCAAAAUUUAUGAAGCUGUACAUUUUUAAAAUGUGCAGUAUAUUGGAUUUCAAUCACGCCUCAGUAACUUUUUUAAAAAAGGAAAAGAAAAAGAGUAGGCAGUGGCAUUUACUAAAAUGCUAUAUAUGUUUAGCUCCCACAUACACACUGGCAAUGAAUGAAAAGUGCUUCCUCUCUUUGGGGAGGGAACAGGUAAAGCAGGCAGCAAGUCAAGUCUCAGCAGCUGCUCCAAUUUUAACUCUGGAGAUCACUUGUGCCAGGAGCUGGAGCCCUUGAACAGUGAAACCACCUGCCAAGUUAGUGCCAUAAUUUCCUAAAGAAAGCGUGCCCUGCUCAGAGAAGGCAACUGAGGUUACAGUGCAGACAAGACAGCUGACAGUCUUUAAGCUCUAAAGGCCACUCAGCAUAAAACAUCACAAGCAUUGCCUUCUAAUUGCAGAACUGACCAAUUUCAUUCCUGGCCGUACAAGCCUAUAACUCAUGCCUAACAAACUGCCUGGAAUAGCUCCAUAUUCUUAUUUUAAGUAUUUAGUCUUGGCUCUCCUGACUGAAUGCAGCCCAAGCUCACAGACCUGGCCUGCGUUCUGUGUCCUGGUGGCACGUAUGGUGCUGGUACUCAAGAGCACUCUUGGAUUUGCUUUACUUGCAUGAUUUUUAAGAACCAGAAGGACAAGCAUGAGGCCUUCAUAUUUAGACCUUCUUCCCUAUAUGGUAACAAGAAUAUGAGGGGUAAUCCCAGAAUGGUAAACUUUACUUUAAGCACCUUUAGUUACUAAUCAGUAAGAAAAAUGUGAAAAUGUGCUCCAGUUAAAAGCACAAGACCAUGAAAGAAGCCAAAGCUAUGACUGACUGCAUGCAGAGGCUGUUGACGUCAUCUUCGCCUGGGUCUCCUCCUGAACUGAAAUCCUUGGAAAGGGAGCAAAAGGGUUUACAAAACAAGACGGUGCAGAGAGUCUCAAGUCUGUCUACUCCACAGCAGCCUGCUCUUUCCUGUUGCUUUUCAAGGAAUCAGCAGAGGGAGACCUGGCCAGCAGCUCCUGGGCAGCAAAGUAUCCCCAGACUGUGUUCCUGGUGGUUGGCUCAAGCCACUGAAGCGGUGGUUAAGACUCAAGACCAGGACCUGGAGAUUCACAAGGACCACUGGGAUACUAUUUCACUAAUAACCCAAUAGAAAUGGAGUCACUUCCAAGGCACUCUGCUUUGGGGAAGGGCAGAGUGCCAUAUACCUUCUACUGGGUAACAGGACUGAAGAAGGCACCUCUACAGACUUAUGGCUUCACUACUUGUAGUGAAAGCUCAUGACUCACAAUGCAGUUUAUAGUUGCUCAUGAAUCUUUGCAGGAGUGUUUCCUAUAGGCAGCAUUUUACAGGGACAAAAUAUGGGAAGUUUUAAGAUUAAAAAAAAAAAAAUGACUAAACUAAACCAAAAAUCAAACAUAACAAAAAACCAGAAUAUCCUAAGCCCCAAACCUUCAAAAUAAAAUAAAGUCCUUGCCAUUUACAGUUUGGAGAGGGAAAAGGAUUUCUACUUUCAACACGCAGGUGAGUUUCUUAAUGACAAAAAGUACAAUGAGGCCAGCUGCGGAGGAGGCUCAUGCCUGUAAUCCCAGUGCUUUGGAAGGCCAAGGCAGGAGAAUCACUUGAGGCCAGGAGUUUGAGACUGGCAUGAGUUUGCAACCAGCCUGGGCAACACAGCAAGACUCAUGUCCCCAAUCCUGUUUCUGCAAAAAAUUAAAAAAAAAAAAAAAAAAAUUUAGCCAGACAUGGUCCUAGCUACUUGAGUGGAUCAAGUGGGAGAUCACUUGAGCCCAGAGGUUUGAGGUUGCAGUGAGCUAUGACCGCACAAGUACACUCCAGACUGGGCAACAGAACGAGACUCUGUCUCUUAAAAAAAAAAAAAAAGGUGUAAUGGUUGAAUGGGUGGAGGUAGGGGGAGCCAGUAUUUUUCUGCAGCUUUGCAUUUGAAGCCACUCAGAACAUUCCCAGAUGGGCGUAUGGCUCAAGGUCUAAUGGUUUAGCUGUUUGCUUUCCCUCUUCUUAUUAGACACAGAAGUUCUCUUAACCACCUUUUACUCAGCUGCCUUACUUGGAGACUCAUAAAACUCACAGCCUUCGUACCCCAGCAUAGUGAAGAGCACUCCCCUCAUGCUUUAGUCUCUAGCUCAUGAUCACUUCUUCAUUCCCAUAUGAGUUCUGUGUUCACAAAGGGAGGAGUGGUUAGCUGUGUUUGUCCCCAAAUCCAUUUAUGGUAGCUAUAUUUACUGUGUAAAUAUAAUGUAAUUAAAUAGUAUGUAAAUCAAUAAAAUGAGUGUGAAUACAAACAGCGGUUCUAGCUGACUCCUGGGAAAGACUCAAUAAAGGCAAGUCACUAAAAAACUAUUGCUAGUGAAUAAUCAUAUGGGAGACUACAUUUAGAGAAAGAAAUCUUAAAAAUCUGGAAAGGUUUGGUUUUUAAAUGUUCUCACAAUACUCUUUGCUCUACUUUAAAAAAGGUCAAAUUGGUUUUUGCAAGAACUAUGAUGGGAAACUCCACUAGCAGAGCCAUCCUCAAAGAUAAAGACAUAGUCCUUUAGCAAAUGAUUUAUGUUAGAGUUUGAAAUCAAAUGUUUACAGAAGCCAUGUCACUUUUAUGUUAGCAUACCAACUACCCACUUGUCUCAAUCAUGAUGGGUAAAAAGGGAUUCUACAUUUAGAUAGGCAAAAGAUACAAAUUCAAAUCUUACAUUCUUAUUAUUCCAUUUCUGGGUCUCUGUGGCUGUAUUCCAGCACAACCUCCCUGAAGUGGGGUUCUGAGAACUCCUUAUGAGUGAGGGGUAUGACCAAAGGUCCAAGUGCCAACCCAAAGAGGGAACCAGCUCACUCUCACUAUCAUUUUCCUGAGAUCACCAACAGUGCAAGCACAUUUCCCAUACGCAGUAUGGAAAUGCUUCUAACCUUUGGCUAAAUCCCUUUAGAUCCUAUAACCAAAAGUGUAUUUUCAAAGGCAGGGCCCAUGAUGGGAAGAAUAUGCAGGAUCCAACGGCAAUAAAAAGAACACAGACCAGAAUGCAUGCCCUGUGGGUGUGUCUCUCCAUUUUCCACUUUAAUCACAGUAUAAAUAAGAGGAGUUACUACCACAUUAUAUCGCAUGGGGAGGGGGAGAAAGAAAUACCACUAGGCCGGGUGCAGUGGCUCACGCCUGUAAUCCUAGCACUUUGGGAGGCUGAGGCAGGUGGACUGCCUGAGCUUCGGAGUUUGAGACCAGCCUGGGCAACAUGGUGAAACCCUGUAUCUACUAAAAUACAAAAAAUCAGCCGGGCAUGGUGGCGUGCGCCUGUAGUCCCAGCUACUUGGGAGGCUGAGGCAGGAGAACUGCUUGAACCCGGGAGGCAGAGGUUGCAGUGAGCCGAGAUUGCACCAGGGCACUCCAGCCUGGGCGACAGAGUGAGACUCCAUCUCCAAAAAAAUCAAAAGAAAUACCACUUAACAAUAGCUAGCUGGAAGUGGUAGAAAUAUGCAUUUUCUAUAGGGUAUAAUGGUUAAAGGCAUGAGUUCUGGACCUCUGUUACAGACUAUUAUUACAACUCCCUCCCUGGUCUCCCUGCUUCUGCUCUUGCUCUCCUACAGUCUAAACCUGACACAGCAGCCAGACCCUACUACCCCUCGGCUGAAAAACUCCUGUGACUCCCCCAUCUCAGGAGAUAAAACUCUUAAAAUGGCCUACAAGACCCUCUAAGAAGUGUCAAGCCUCCGCCCCUACCACCAUCCCUCUGACUUCACCUCUGAUUACUCUUGUACUUUUCCAGUCCCAGAACAUUGUUUCCUUAUGUUCUACAUACACACCAGGGAUACCUCCACCCGUGGGCCUUUGCAUUUGCUGUUCUCUCUGCCUAAAAUGAUCUUGCUCAAACAGUCACAUAGGUUACAUCCUUACCUCCUUCAAGUCUUUGCUCAAAUGUCACUUUCUCAUUGAGGCCUUUGCCAAUCUAUCUAAAACCUCAACCUUUUCCUAUUCCCUCCUUAACACUUACUAGCUUAUACACAACAGUCUUGCUUAUUAAUCAUAUUUAUUAUGUCUUUUCCACUACAGUGUGAGAUGAAGGCAGGAACUGUGUCUUCUUCACUCCUAAAUUCUUGGUAGCCAGGACAGUGUCUUGUACAUAGCAGACAUUCAUCAAGUACUUACAGAAAUAUCAAAGGUACCCUUUUCUCCUCCUGGCCUGUGUAUAUACCUGGAAGACGCUUUCCUCCUGCCUGACUGCACCAUACACACCCAAGACCAAAUGGCACUUCCUCCAAGAAGUUCUAGCCUAUAGGUGUAGGUUGCCUGAGGUACUUUCAUUGUAACUGACCACUCCCUACAGGGUAAGCUUCUUGAGGGCAACAUUGAGGCUUUGCCCAGCUCCUUAUAUAUUCACUGAGUGACCGAGGGAAUGCCAGGUCCUAACUGGCCACUCAUUCAAACAGUCACUGAAUAGCUACUCUAUGCCAAGACUGAUGGGGAGACCUUGGAGAACAACACUAGUGUGGGUCUGGCCUCCUGGAGCCUUCAGUCGGUUGGGGAAAGAGCAGAUGUUUAACUACACGGAUCCUGACUAUGAUGGGGGCUAAGAAAAUAGAUGGGUGCAUUGUUGCAGAAUUAGAAGCAUGCAUGUAUGCAUCCAAAGUGUUACUUAAGCUGUGCUAUAAAGAAAAGAGCCUGUCAUGCAGUGGGGAGUGGGGGCAGUGUGGUGGCACCUAAGCAAAGGGGCAGAGACCUCCAUGUGGGAAAAGGCUUGGAGCAUUCGAGGAAUGAAUGCAGGCCAAGGUGGCUUGAGCUCCUGGGAGAGGAAGAGCAAAUGUAACAGAAAGAGACAGUAGCAUCUAAGAACUGGUUAUUUCUACCUCCCCGACUUUCUGCACUGCUAGAAUACACCUGGUCAAAAUCAAAGGGGUCCAGGGGAGGGAAUGCAGAGACUUGGUUAAGCUUUUUAGCAGGAAAAGAAAACAAAAAAACAGAAGAAAAAAUAGAAGUAAAAAU